rnacentral:rRNA from 1 species
UACGUAGGGUCCGAGCGUUGUCCGGAAUUAUUGGGCGUAAAGGGCUCGUAGGCGGUUCGUCACGUCGGGAGUGAAAACUCGGGGCUUAACCCCGAGCCUGCUUCCGAUACGGGCAGACUAGAGGUAGGCAGGGGAGAGCGGAACUCCUGGUGUAGCGGUGGAAUGCGCAGAUAUCAGGAAGAACACCGGUGGCGAAGGCGGGUCUCUGGGCCGUAACUGACGCUGAGGAGCGAAAGCAUGGGGAGCGAACAGG